rnacentral:rRNA from 1 species
GAUGAACGCUAGCGGCAGGCCUAAUACAUGCAAGUCGAACGGGAUUGUGGUAGUAGCUUGCUACUACUGCAUGAGAGUGGCGCACGGGUGCGUAACGCGUGAGCAACCUACCCAUAUCAGGGGGAUAGCCCGGCGAAAGUCGGAUUAACACCGCAUAACAUCAACAGUUCGCAUGUUCAGUUGAUUAAAUAUUUAUAGGAUAUGGAUGGGCUCGCGUGACAUUAGCUAGUUGGUAGGGUAACGGCUUACCAAGGCAACGAUGUCUAGGGGCUCUGAGAGGAGCAUCCCCCACACUGGUACUGAGACACGGACCAGACUCCUACGGGAGGCAGCAGUAAGGAAUAUUGGUCAAUGGGCGCAAGCCUGAACCAGCCAUGCCGCGUGCAGGAGGACUGCCCUAUGGGUUGUAAACUGCUUUUAUCAGGGAAUAAACCCCUUUACGAGUAGAGGGUUGAAUGUACCUGAAGAAUAAGGAUCGGCUAACUCCGUG